rnacentral:rRNA from 1 species
GAUGGACGCUGGCGGCGUGCCUAAUACAUGCAAGUCGAGCGAACGGACGAGAAGCUUGCUUCUCUGAUGUUAGCGGCGGACGGGUGAGUAACACGUGGAUAACCUACCUAUAAGACUGGGAUAACUUCGGGAAACCGGAGCUAAUACCGGAUAAUAUUUUGAACCGCAUGGUUCAAAAGUGAAAGACGGUCUUGCUGUCACUUAUAGAUGGAUCCGCGCUGCAUUAGCUAGUUGGUAAGGUAACGGCUUACCAAGGCAAUGAUGCAUAGCCGACCUGAGAGGGUGAUCGGCCACACUGGAACUGAGACACGGUCCAGACUCCUACGGGAGGCAGCAGUAGGGAAUCUUCCGCAAUGGGCGAAAGCCUGACGGAGCAACGCCGCGUGAGUGAUGAAGGUCUUCGGAUCGUAAAACUCUGUUAUUAGGGAAGAACAUAUGUGUAAGUAACUGUGCACAUCUUGACGGUACCUAAUCAGAAAGCCACGGCUAACUACGUG